CAACCGCCCCUGCGCUCGCUUACUGGACAAAAGGGGCCGUUGGUGUUUUCAACGGUCCCCGGGGCACUGUCCCCCCAGGUGCACCAAAGAAUUAUGUAGCAUCCAAAAGGGGACAUCAAAACAGAAACAGAAUGUGUAUACUGUGCUCCAUUAUGCCCAGACAUUUACUCUUCAAACAACACAGAUUAUGUGUGUGAAAUGAGAUCAUUUCUGGCUUGGGAGCACGCAGCCUCGACCUGGAGACAUAUGCUCAUUCAAAGACUGACUGACUGUGAGGCCACACAGUGGAAAUGCAAGGUGCUCUGGGAUAUUCUUUUUAUAAAUAUAUAAUCAUUUGUAAACUUUCUCUUCUUAAGAUCAAAUCAUUCCAAUUCCUGUUUCUCAAUACUUUGUUUACUGUCCUCCUCCGAAUCCUCAGGUUUCAAUAUUUAUCUUAGAUUAUUCAACUUGAAACUGCACCAGCAUUAUAAAAGCCCAAAAGACUGGAUUUUGGGAGAAAGGCCUUACUUCCCUUGAUUUUCAAACAUUUUUUUCACUUCUGGAAAUAUUUUACAAAUCUUUAUAAUUUCAUGCAGAUUUGUUAAAUAUUUAGUCACAGGAUAUAGCUUAUUCCACACCUGUAUAAUGAAAUAGUCAUUAAAAUAUUUCAGAAAUAAAAAUCAUAAAAGAACAUAAGCACUGAGGAGAAAAAUAGGUACACAAUGAGGUUUAUUCCUAUUCUAAGAAUUUGUGUGUGUGUGGUGUGUGUGUGCUCAAAAAUGUCUCUCAAUCCCCAAGUGAGGGAAUAUGGUUGUUUUGUUAUUCAUUUUGCUUCUAGUCAUUGAUUUUGUAACAAA